CUCCUGUGAUGAACUCUGCUUUACGACUUCGUGUCUGGGCCACUGAUGCUCCAUGAUGGUGUUGAGGAUCUGAGGAG
rnacentral:snoRNA from 1 species